rnacentral:rRNA from 1 species
UACGAAGGGGGCUAGCGUUGUUCGGAAUCACUGGGCGUAAAGCGCACGCAGGCGGAUCGUUAAGUCAGGGGUGAAAUCCCGAGGCUCAACCUCGGAACUGCCUUUGAUACUGGCGAUCUUGAGUCCGGGAGAGGUGAGUGGAACUGCGAGUGUAGAGGUGAAAUUCGUAGAUAUUCGCAAGAACACCAGUGGCGAAGGCGGCUCACUGGCCCGGUACUGACGCUGAGGUGCGAAAGCGUGGGGAGCAAACAGG